GAGUGCUGGUUACCUACACAUCGUGAAAUAGUGCCCUAGAAGUGAAAAUAAAAAGUGAGUGAAAGUGAAGGAGAAAAAGGGUUGAAGGAGGUUUUUUUUUUUCUCCUUCACUUUCACUCACUUUUUAUUUUCACUUCUAGGGCACUAUUUCACGAUGUGUAGGUAACCAGCACUCU